rnacentral:rRNA from 1 species
GACGAAGGGGGCUAGCGUUGUUCGGAAUUACUGGGCGUAAAGCGUGCGCAGGCGGUUUUGUAAGCCAGAUGUGAAAUCCCCGGGCUUAACCUGGGAAUGGCAUUUGGGACUGCAAGGCUGGAGUGUGGCAGAGGAGACUGGAAUUCCUGGUGUAGCAGUGAAAUGCGUAGAUAUCGGGAGGAACACCAGUGGCGAAGGCGACUUCCUGGCCUGUUCUUGACGCUGAGGCGCGAAAGCUAGGGUAGCAAACGGGG